rnacentral:rRNA from 1 species
GAUGAACGCUGGCGGCGUGCCUAAUACAUGCAAGUCGAGCGAACGGACGAGAAGCUUGCUUCUCUGAUGUUAGCGGCGGACGGGUGAGUAACACGUGGAUAACCUACCUAUAAGACUGGGAUAACUUCGGGAAACCGGAGCUAAUACCGGAUAAUAUUUUGAACCGCAUGGUUCAAAAGUGAAAGACGGUCUUGCUGUCACUUAUAGAUGGAUCCGCGCUGCAUUAGCUAGUUGGUAAGGUAACGGCUUACCAAGGCAACGAUGCAUAGCCGACCUGAGAGGGUGAUCGUCCACACUGGAACUGAGACACGGUCCAGACUCCUACGGGAGGCAGCAGUAGGGAAUCUUCCGCAAUGGGCGAAAGCCUGACGGAGCAACGCCGCGUGAGUGAUGAAGGUCUUCGGAUCGUAAAACUCUGUUAUUAGGGAAGAACAUAUGUGUAAGUAACUGUGCACAUCUUGACGGUACCUAAUCAGAAAGCCACGGCUAACUACGU